CCCUUAGAUGUUCUGGGCUGCACGCGCGCUACACUGAUGCAUCCAGCGAGUUGUACCCUUGCUUGGUAAAGUUUGGUAAUCUGAGGCUAAUGUGCAUCGUGAUGGGAAUAGAGUUUUGCAACUAUUAGUCUUGAACGAGGAAUUCCUCGUAAGCACGAGUCAUCAGCUUGUGCUGAUUACGUCCCUGCCCUUUGUACACACCGCCCGUCGCACCUACCGAUUGAAUGGUCCGGUGAAAUCUCGGGACGGCGGCUUGGUCGCUUGCGUCCGACUGCUGAAACUUGAUUAAACCAUAUCAUUUAGAGGAAGGUGAAGUCGUAACA
rnacentral:rRNA from 1 species